rnacentral:rRNA from 1 species
GAUGAACGCUGGCGGCGUGCUUAACACAUGCAAGUCGAGCGAGAAAAGUUCUUCGGAGCUUUUCUAGCGGCGGACGGGUGAGUAACACGUGGGCAACCUGCCUCAUAGAGGGGAAUAGCCUUCCGAAAGGAAGAUUAAUACCGCAUAACAUUGUUGAAAGGCAUCUUUUAACAAUCAAAGGAGCAAUCCGCUAUGAGAUGGGCCCGCGGCGCAUUAGCUAGUAGGUGAGGUAACGGCUCACCAAGGCGACGAGGCGUAGCCGACCUGAGAGGGUGAUCAGCCACAUUGGAACUGAGACACGGGCCAGACUACUACGGGAGGCAGCAGUGGGGAAGAUUGCACAAUGGGGGAAACCCUGAUGCAGCAACGCCGCGUGAGUGAUGAAGGUCUUCGGAUUGUAAAGCUCUGUCUUUAGGGACGAUAAUGACGGUACCUAAGGAGGAAGCCACGGCUAACUACGUGCCAGCCGCCGCGGUAAUAC